CAAUAGCGUAUAUUAAAGUUGUUGCAGUUAAAAAGCUCGUAGUUGGAUUUCUGGCAGGAGUGACCGGCCGCACACACUGUGUGCGAGUUGCGUCAUUCUGGCCAUCCUUGGUGAGAUCCUGUUUGGCAUUAAGUUGUCGGGCAGGGGAUAACCAUCGUUUACUGUGAAAAAUUAGAGUGUUUAAAGCAGGCUUAUGCCGUUGAAUAUAUUAGCAUGGAAUAAUAAGAUAGGACUUUGAGUCUAUUUUGUUGGUUUGCGAGUCAAAGUAAUGAUUAAUAGGGACGGUUGGGGUUCUUCGUAUUCAAUUGUCAGAGGUGAAAUUCUUGGAUUUAUGGAAGACGAACUGCUGCGAAAGCGUCGAACAAGGACGUUCUCAUUAAUCAAGAACGAAAGUUAGGGGAUCGAAGACGAUCAGAUACCAU
rnacentral:rRNA from 1 species